UACGUAGGGGGCAAGCGUUGUCCGGAUUUAUUGGGCGUAAAGAGCGUGUAGGCGGCCACUCAGGUCUGCUGUGAAAACUCGAGGCUCAACCUCGAGCUGUCGGUGGAAACCGUGUGGCUAGAGUCCGGAAGAGGAGAGUGGAAUUCCCGGUGUAGCGGUGAAAUGCGCAGAUAUCGGGAAGAACACCCGUGGCGAAGGCGGCUCUCUGGGACGGUACUGACGCUGAGACGCGAAAGCGUGGGGAGCGAACAGG
rnacentral:rRNA from 1 species